AUGACUGUUACACACCCGCCAGCUCUCACACCGCUGGUGCAAGCGCUACGUUCUUGGUGUCGCCACUGGCAUCACACCCUGGUGGCAGGACGCCUGCGGUCUCGAGUUGCGACUCAACGGAGCGAACUGAACAGCUGCCCCACUCCCGAGGAGUGUGCGGCGUGGCACGUCGCGUGGAAAUCUAGGACAACAACAACAACGGUGAUGAUAAAAUGGGGAGCACUUGAAGACCUUCAGCAAACACAUGGUGUCCAGCAGCACUUCCCUGCUUUCCUGCAAUCACGUUCCCCUCUUGGGGCAGCAGAUGGAGUUGGUAGGUUGGGCUCUUGUCUCUUAUGCCUUCAUCCCUCCUGUGAGUAUUUAUUGAGUAUCUACUUAUGUGCCCCACACUCUUCUAGGCAUUAAAGAUUUUCAGGGAAGUGUUAGACACACCUUAUGGGCUAAGAUGUUGCACUUGACCCCAGCCAGCUGGACCAAAAGAAAAUGGAGUCAGUCGUGUUAAAUUGAAACUGGAAUUUCACAGGAGUCUUCGUGUUUGCUCUGAGUCCACUUUAACCCAUGCGAAAAAGUACUCUGAAGUAACUUGAUACAGACCAGUUGGUUUUCCCCUACUGCUCUGUCUCCUUGCUGUUUACAAACCCCACUGCUCAGGCCUGGCCCACACAAGCAUCCAUUCUGUUUUGCAGGAUGGUGUGUGCCCCAGUUCACAAUCCCCCCAAAAGGCCACUUAGAUGGGCAUUUAAAUUUGAUGUCAUUUUGUUUUGAAUAGAACAAAGCAGACAAAAUCCCUGCUCCCCCU
rnacentral:lncRNA from 1 species